GACGAACGCUGGCGGCGUGCUUAACACAUGCAAGUCGAACGGUAAGGCCCUUCGGGGUACACGAGUGGCGAACGGGUGAGUAACACGUGGGUGAUCUGCCCUGCACUUCGGGAUAAGCCUGGGAAACUGGGUCUAAUACCGGAUAGGACUCCGGACUGCAUGGUCUGGGGUGGAAAGCUUUUGCGGUGUGGGAUGGGCCCGCGGCCUAUUAGCUUGUUGGUGGGGUGAUGGCCUACCAAGGCGACGACGGGUAGCCGGCCUGAGAGGGUGACCGGCCACACUGGGACUGGGAUACGGCCCGGACUCCUACGGGAGGCAGCAGUGGGGAAUAUUGCACAAUGGGCGGAAGCCUGAUGCAGCAACGCCGCGUGAGGGAUGACGGCCUUCGGGUUGUAAACCUCUUUUAGCAGGGAAGAAGCGAAAGUGACGGUACCUGCAGAAAAAGCACCGGCUAACUACGUGCCAGCCGCCGCCGUAA
rnacentral:rRNA from 1 species